rnacentral:rRNA from 1 species
AGAUGGCGACCGGCGCACGGGUGAGUAACACGUAUCCAACCUGCCGAUAACUCGGGGAUAGCCUUUCGAAAGAAAGAUUAAUACCCGAUGGCAUAAUUAGACCGCAUGGUCUUAUUAUUAAAGAAUUUCGGUUAUCGAUGGGGAUGCGUUCCACUAGGCAGUUGGUGAGGUAACGGCUCACCAAACCUUCGAUGGAUAGGGGUUCUGAGAGGAAGGUCCCCCACAUUGGAACUGAGACACGGUCCAA